UCUUUUUCCUUUUCCUUUUUUUCUUUUUCCUUUUUCACCCCACCAAACCCAUCAUUAUUCAAAACUUCAUUAUUACUCUCACCAACCUCAUUCUUUUUAAAAGACUUCUUCAUCUUCUUCAUAAAAAAAAAGAUGAACAAGAAAGAGAGAGACACCAUUUUUUUCACCAAGAACACACACACAAAAAAAAUAAUCAAGAACACACAAAAAAAAAAGGAGAGAAAGGAAGAAGAACAAAAGGGAGAAUUAAUCUACAAUCAUCAAUAUUCAUCAACAUACAAGAAAAAAAAAGGAAGCAAGAACAUAAUACUACAAAAAAGAAAAUCAUAAAAAAAAAAAUUAGUUUCGGAUUUUUCAUUUUUUUUAGUUCUUUCUCUCAUUUCUUGAUAGGUUAAAGGAGUUCAUCGCCCUCAAAUUCGUCGUCUCAAUCGCUGCCCGAAAAUAGCUGAUACGCAGAUGUAAAGGAGGUUUACUAUAGGUUCCGGAGGAAGAAAAUAGGCUGAUAUACAAUCUAUAUACAGGAGAUACAGAAAAAGGGUGACUGUAUAUAUUGAUAUAUAUUUAUAUAUAAUCAUGAUAUACAGAAACGAAAUGGGCCAAAGGCCCAAAAUACAGGUGGCCCAAUAUCUUAGUCCAGGUGUACAGAAACUAAGUAUUGGGCCGGAUUUUUGUUUUGUUUAUAUUGUUAUUCUAUUUAUUUGGGUUGUAAUAAUUUAAUUUAUUUAUGGUUGUGUAUA